AGUUAGCGAGUCUUACUGUGGUUUUAGCUAGCCUUGCUCACAGAGCUAAGAGCCCAGAGGUGUGAUUUGUAGUCAAACCCCUUGACAAAGAUAUUUCCAUUAUGCUUUUCCCAAGACUUUUAUCUUAGGGUCUGAAGCUUGACCAAUAAAAAUUUCAUUUGAGUUAAAUGGCAUAAUCUAUCAAAAGGAGAGAUGUAAUAGUAGUUAAUCGCCGUGGGUUGACUCCUCCGGUCUGUGAGGGAGCCCUGUGGGAGUGGGAAGGCAUGAGAAUAUGGCAGCCUCCCAUGGGUAUGAUGAAAGAAAGAGCAAACAGGAAGAGAUCUUGGCAAUGGACUUUAGAGUCAGGCACUCCCAAGUGUAAAUACCCCUUCUAUGUCCCCUGUUACUUUUCGAAGUAAUUUUCAACAUUUAUUACAACAAUAGGGACAUGUGUUUUUAACCAGACGUUAGCAUGGGACCGAAAGGUGAAGUGUAGAGUUUAAACGCCAGAGUCCAUGCGUGGGCUGCAUGCCCUGGGCCCUCAUUCAUGAGCUGUAUGGCUUGGACCCACGGUAAAGUGUCCGUAACGUGCAGGCUCUUAGAGAGUCUACAGUAGUAGUUCACAACCUGUGGAUUGCAACCCCUAGGAAAACCCCUGUCUCCAAAACAUUUACAUUAUGAAUCAUAACAGCAGCAAAAUUACAGUUAUGAGGUCACAACAAAAGUAAGUUUAUGGUUGCAGGAAGGGUCUCCACAACAUGAGGAAUUGUAUUAAAGGGCCACAGCACGAGGAAGGUUGAGAACCACAGAUCUAUAGUGUUGUCUCAGAGCAGGAACCUGUGUAAUUCCUCAUCGUGUGUUGUCUGGUAUCUGUUUCACUGUGUACUCAAUAUUGUAUGCUACAAAUGAACAUGAAAUGCUGGUCCUUUUCGGGCCACUUCUUUUUCCUGUUGUGUAACUGGAAACCCUCAGUUGGAUGAGGCAAGCCUGAGUCCUCCUGCCACAGACUCUUGGUGGUUGUUGAUACACCCUGCUCUUGAGAUUUCUCAGAGAAUCCACUGGGCAGCUUCAGGUUGUGCCUGGUGGUGAAGGAACCCUUGGUGCUUGCUUGGAGGAGCUUUCUGCUGAAGAACAAAGUCCUGCUAUCGUCCUCUCCCUCCAGAGCUCUUCCCAAUGUGCCUCCAGUUAUCUGGUCCUGAAGAGACCUGCCAGAAAAGCUGUCUAGUUCAGAAACUUCUGAGAGUAGAAUAAAGCCUACUUAAACAAGUGUGCCAGGGCCUUCAUCUCCUUAGCCGCUGUCCACUGCCAUCUGAACCAAUUGGAUGAGAAAGUUGGUCACAUACAAGGCAGAUUGGACAGUGACUCUCAAGAUCUUGUCAGCUUCUCUCUCCUGGUUUUGGAGCUUGGCCUUCAUAUCUCGGAGCACCUACAGCUCUCUGGUGAAAGGAUGGAGGUUGGGCUGCAGAGAAGCAGCCUUUUCCUCUCCACCUCUUUGGACUUAGCUUCCAACUCCUGAAGCACAGAGCUCACACCCAGAGAUGUGUGCCUUUUCUAGUCAAGAAUUCAAGAAUUCUUUGGGUUCUUUCUGUGUGGCUCAGGUCUCCUAUGCCUGUUGCUUGGUGCUUUCAUGGGUCUCCACCAUUCAUUCCAUCACAUGGUCAUGACACCCUAGCAACCAUUGCAACAUUAAUGCUGAGCUGGACACUGAAGAGAGUGCUUCACUGUGGGGAGAGACCAUGAAACCUAGCAUGCUGACUUGAUGGAAUGUGAUUUAGGGAACAUUAUUCAAACUCUCCAAGCUUCAGUUAUUCCUUAUAUUUUAAAUGUGCAUAUAAAAUAUACAAUGGAAAAAGGAAAGCAUCUCAAAUAAGUGGUGCUGGUCUGACUGGCUGUCUGUAAGUAGAAGAAUGAAGAUAGAACUAUAUUUGUCACUUUGUACAAAGCUCAAGUCCAAGUGGGUCAAGGACCUCAACAUAAAACCAGAUACCCUGAAUCUAAUAGAAGAGAAGGUGGGAAAGAGCCUUGAACUCAUUGGCACAGGGGGAAAUUUCCUAAACAGAACUCCAAUGGCUCACACUCUAAGAUCAAGAAUUGAUAAAUGGGACCUCACGAAACUGUAAAACUACUGUAAAGCAAAGAACAUAGUAAGACAAAUUGGCAACCUACUGAUUGGGAGAAAAAUUUCACUAACCCCAUAUCCGAUAAAGGGCUAAUAUACAAAAUGUUUAAAGAACUCAAAAAGUUAGUCACCAAAAAAACCAAACAAUCCAGUCAAAAAAUGGGGUAUAGAACUAAACAGAUAUUUCACAACUGAGGAAUCUCGAAUGGCUGAGAAGCACCUAAAGAAAUGUUAAAAUUCCUUAAUGAUCAGAGAAAUGCAAAUCAAAAUGACCUCAAGAUUCCACCUCACCCCAGUCAGAAUGGCUAAGAUCAAAGCCUCAGGUGACAACACAUGUUGCAGAGGAUGUGGAGAAAGAGGAACACUCCUCCACUGCUGGUGGGAUUGCAAACUGGUACAACCACUCUGGAAAUCAAUCUGGAGGUUCCUCAGAAAAUUGGAAAUAGAGCUACAUGAAUACCCAGCUAUACCACUCUUGGGAAUAUAUCCAAAAGAUGUCCCACCAUGCCACAGGGCACCUGUUCCACUAUGUUCACAGCAGCCUUAUUUUUAAUAGGCAGAAGAUGGAAAGAACCCAGAUGUCCCACAACAGAAUAUUGGAUACAGAAAAUGUGGUUCAUUUACACAAUGGAAUACCACUCAGCUAUUAAGACCGAGAACAUCCUGAGUUUUGCAGGCAAAUGCAUGGAACUAGAAAAUAUUAUCCUGAGUGAGGUAACUCAGACCCCAAAGGACAUGGAUGUACUCAUUAAUAAGUGGAUAUUAGCCAAAAAAGAAAAAAGAAAAAAAAAAAAGAAAAAAUUCAUACAGAAUACACAAGAUACAGUCC